rnacentral:rRNA from 1 species
AGCGAACGCUGGCGGCAGGCUUAACACGUGCAAGUCGAGCGGGCACUUCGGUGUCAGCGGCAGACGGGUGAGUAACACGUGGGAACGUACCCUUUGGUUCGGAAUAACGCUGGGAAACUAGCGCUAAUACCGGAUACGCCCUUUUGGGGAAAGGCUUGCUGCCGAAGGAUCGGCCCGCGUCUGAUUAGCUAGUUGGUGGGGUAAUGGCCUACCAAGGCGACGAUCAGUAGCUGGUCUGAGAGGAUGAUCAGCCACACUGGGACUGAGACACGGCCCAGACUCCUACGGGAGGCAGCAGUGGGGAAUAUUGGACAAUGGGCGCAAGCCUGAUCCAGCCAUGCCGCGUGAGUGAUGAAGGCCUUAGGGUUGUAAAGCUCUUUUGUCCGGGACGAUAAUGACGGUACCGGAAGAAUAAGCCCCGGCUAACUUCGUG